rnacentral:rRNA from 1 species
UAUAAGUAUGGAAAGAAAUUAUUGUAGAAUUUAAGCUAUAUAUUAAAGAGAUUUAUUUAUAUAAAUAGGCUUGGUAGCUGAUUGUAUAUAUAUGCUGGCGGCGCAAGCUCUGCUUUUAAUAGGCAACCAGUAAUAUAAGCAAGUCUUUGCCAACAAGCCUAUAAUUAUAUUAACUCUAAGAGAAAUCUAAUAAUAAACGAAGUGAAUUGAAAUAUCUUAUUAACUUUAGGAAAAGAAAUCAAAAGAGAUUCUAUGAUUAGCGUGAGCUAAAAUAGACUAGCCUAGAAAGUCAAAUGGUGGAUAAACUGUUUAAAUUAAAUGGGGAACCUUCCUCAAAGGCUAAAUAUAAUAUAUAAGCGAUAGUGGAGAGUACCGUGAGGGAACCAAAACAAAAACAGUAAUUUUAUAAGCAGUUCGGAAAAAUAAAAAAGUUAGAACGUACCUUUUGCAUAAUGGGUCACCAAGUUAACAUUAGAUGCGAGAUUAUACGUAGUUAAACCGAGCGUUAAAAUAACGGUAAGUGUCUAAAGUUAGACCCGAAGCCUGGUGAUUUUACCAUAAUCAGGAUUAUAAAAGUCCGAACGGAAUAUUGUAGCAUAAAUAUCCGAAGAAUUAUGGUAGGUGUAGUGAAAGACAAUACUGACCAGGAUAGCUGGUUUUCUGCGAAACCUAUAACAGUAGGCAAUUUAAGUAUAAUAUCUUAGCAGGUACAGAAUUUAAUCUCAGACAAGACAUAAGGCUUAGCUUGCUAGCAAGUUAAGCCCGUUUUAUUUUGUACAAAUUGGGGGAUCAUGAAGAUUUUAUCAGUGAGUAUGUAGACUCGGAAUGGCAAAGAUAUAUCUUAAAUCAUCAGACAUAGAAUGAUAAGGUUGUAUGUCAAAAGGGAAACAGCCCAGAACAAGAGUUAAGGUUCCUAAAUUAUUAGUUGAGUGAAAUUAAGAAGGUUUUUAUUAAAGUCGACAAGGAGAUAGGCUUAGAAGCAGCCAUAAUUUUAUGACCUCGUAACAGAGCGCUUGUUAAGUUUUAAAAGCAUCGAAAAUUUAUCGGAUCUAAACAAUAUACCGAAACCUUGUCCAUAUUAUUUUAUAAUUAAUUAUAAUUAAAUGGGGUAGCAGAACGUUGAGCUAAAUUAAGAUUUUUAUUUUUUAAAUGAAAUUAUAAUAAUUUAACUCAAGUGAUAAUGGUGACAUGAGUAACUAAAAGAAAAUUUUCCGCCUAAAGCUUAUGGAUGUAAUUAAGUAACGGCCUCUAAGUUUAUAUUAUCUAAAGAUUUAAACGAUGAGACAAUCUUUUGUACUAAGGACGACAUUUUAAGUGAAAAAUGUACUGGAAAAAUAGUAAUAAAUUUAUUAAGCUAUGGCUAGAACUAGCUAUAGCUAUAAAUGAAAAGUAACCGUACCUAGAAUCUGAAACAAGUAAGCUAGUAGAGAAUACGAAGGCGUAAAUGAGCUAACAAUCAUAAAGGAACUCGGCAAAUUGACUACCGUAACUUCGGGAUAAGGAGAGCUCAUUAUUCUUGAUUAAUAUCAGGUAAAGAGGAAGAAGCAUGAAAUAGUGUUGUACGACUGUUUAAUUAAAACACAGCACUUUGCUGAAAGAUUAAAAAUCUAAGUAUAGAGUGUGAUGUCUGCCCGGUGCCGGCUGGUUAACAGAUAUAAUUGAAUAUACUAAUAUUUGAUGUAGACGGAAACCCCGGUUAAAGGCGGCCUUAACGUGAGGGUCCUAAGGUAGCGAAAUGCCUUGGCCGUUAAAUGCGGUCUUGCAUGAAUGAUGUAACGAUACAACAGCUGUCUCUAUGAUUGACUCAGUGAAAUUGGAAUAGCUGUGCAGAUACAGUUUACCUCUAGUUAGACGAGAAGACCCUAUGCAGCUUUACUGUCACUAAUUAUAGAGUAUGAUAAACAAUUUUCAGAUUAUAAGGUAAUUGACGGCUAGCUUGCUUAGCAAGCUAGCUCUAUGACAAUGAGAAUCCUUUAUUUUUUUUUCAUAUGAAUGAAUUGGUUUAGGACCACGAGUUGGUAGUAAAUCAACCUAAUUCAGCUUAUUUUCCUUUCUGCCAUAAGCGCAUAAUGAUAGAUUAAACUUAAAUUUUGAUUUAUGCCUGCAGAAAUAGAUAAGUACCCUUGGUUAAGGAACUAUCGCUAGGGGACAGUUUAUGUGGGGCACAGACCCUGUAAAGAGUAAACAGGAGUGUCUAAUAAUUUAUAAUUAUUUUGUUUGCGAUUUAAGGUAGUAGGCUAUAAAGCUCGCCGAAAAAAAAAUGUAUUUUUUUUUUUACUGGCGAAGCUAGCUACAACUAUUUUUAAUCAUAUAAAAUUAUUUAUAUGUACAUUCGUUGUAUAUAUAUUUAAAAAAAGGUAGGAUUUUCACUAUAUAGAAAUUAGAGAUAAUUAAUUCUGGCUUAUUUUCUCCGAAAACGGAGCUCCAGCCAGAAUCAGCAAGCUCGAAAAAAAAAUAUAUUUUUUUUUUACUUCGUAUUAGUGCGAAGGGGGCGCUUUUAUGAUAACACAUAGAACAGGCUAAUUUGCGCAAGAGUGUACAAAAUGAGUGCGCGGUUUGGCACCUCGAUGUCGGCUUAACUUAUCCUCAUGGAUGCAGGAACUAUGUAGGGUGCGACUGUUCGUCGAUUAAAAAGUUACAUGAGCUGGGUUAAAUACGUCGUGAGACAGUAUGGUUUCUAUCUUCUAGGGGGAAUUAGAAUAUAAUAAGAACUAACUUUUGUACGAAAGGAACAAGAAGAAUUUAAUUUGUAAAAGGGUUAAAUAAUAGUUACUAACCUAUGGUUUACCUGUUGUCUAUGUGCCCAAAUAUUAAAAUAUAUAUAUUGAUUAUAUAUAUCUGUAUAGCUAAAGCUAUACAUAGGGAUGUUUCUUUCACUAAGAUAAAUAUAUAGCAUAGGCACGGCAGGAAAGCUAAGUUGGUUAAGGAUAAGUGCUGAAAGCAUAUAGGCACGAAGCUUAUCUUAAGAUAUUUCUUAAAUAUACGUAAAAUAUUAUUACGAAGAAUGUAAUAUAGGCUUUAUCCGUACGAAUCAUGAGAUUUUUAAGAAUAAAGUACUAAUUUUAUAAAUAACUAUUUAU